AUGGGUCACAAAGAGGGGGCUUGGGUUUCAGAAACCAGUUUGUGACCUGAGAUACCUCUCAAGCAAGGAGCCAAGUCACCACAUCAUGGGUGAAGUAGCGGAGCCCUGUAAGAGCCGCUGGUGGGAAAAUCUUGGGAUGUGAAGCCCCCAUGCUGUUCCUUCCUGACCUGAGAUGCUUUGGAGAGAAAUUGUCCAGAGUGUGGAAGAGAAGCUGUCCCAAUUCCAUCAGCCCCUGCUUCAGUCCAGAAAGGACUCCAACACCAGCAGCGGCAGCAUGGGGCUUUUU